AUUAAAUAUGGAAGAUAUAUGCACAUAGAAGAAUUCUUUGGCUUUAUUGCGUUGGUUACAACUAUAGUUGGGUUAUUACCUCAAGUAUAUAAAGCGCAUAUCACUAAACUUACUCGUGAUAUAUCAAUGCUAAUGCUAGCGAACUGUCUUCUUUGUUCAUUAUCUUGGCUUGGCUAUGGUCUCUGUCAAGGUUCACUUUUUGUGAUAUCUAGCAAUAUCGCUGCAUCAGUGGUAAGUGUGGUGUCAAUUAUCCAAAAAUGUUAUUAUGAUGCAAAAUCUUCAGGAAGCACUUCAUAGCCAUCACAAACAACGAGAGAAGCACAUGGCAUGCUUAUAAAAUUAAAUUUAGCGUGCGUUUUAAGAUAUACCUC